ensembl:lincRNA
GGGGGGGGGGGGGGCGGGUGGGCACAGGACUCAGGGCAGAGCAGAGCUACAACCCCGGCCCCCGCAGCAGGCGCGGCCCUGCAGUGACCGCCUGUGUGCCCGUGGCCAAGCAGGCAGCCCCAGAUCGGGCACCCAUGCGGCCGUGCCCGAGGGGAGGGUGCCAGGGGUGGGAGCCACGCGCACAUGUCCUGAGGCUCGUCUGCCCCACCAACCGCCCAGAGCCCCUCCAGACUUGGCCACCACUCAGUGCGGACACAGCCUGUGGGUCCGCGCUCUCCCCGUCCCUGCAGCCAGCCAGCUUCCCGGUCUAGAGGGAAGACGCGGGCGCUCCCCGGGGAGUGAACGGCCAGCCGACGCCUCACCAGCACCCGGGACGCGCCUCCCGAGGGCAGGACCCCGGCCUUCCUGAUGCGGGGCGGCGGCAGCUGCUCACCUUGAGUGUCUUGUCCUGGCUCUUGGCCGACUCCAUGAGCAGGUAGGCGCCUCUGCUGUCGCAGAGGCGGUCGGCGGAGCCCUGCAGCAGCAGGAAAGGCAGCGUCAGCUUGGGCAGCGCCCGCUCCACCCGCGACACCGCGUUGAGCAGCUGGAUGCCAAAGCAGACUUUGAGCCCCGCCCGGCAGACCAGGGGGUCCGAGUUGUAGAUGUCCACCUGCGGGGAGAGGGGUGUCCGUCAGACCCCGGAGAGCCGCCCCCCGCACGGCGCCGGGCGCCUCGGCUUCCUGCCGGCCGGCCCUUCACCCUCCCUUCCAUGCACAGGGCCCCCAGACAGGCUCAGCCUCAGUCUGUGCCCCUUCCCGUAAGCACGUCGUAGGCUGGCGUCGACGGUUUCACGUGGCGACAAUACCGCGGUUGGCGCGGGGGUUGGCACGGGUCCGCGUAUGAGUCUCCCCUGACACAGGGUCACCAGGGUUAACCCGCUGAGUUGCUAGGGGUCAGUCAGUGCAGGGACGGGGGCCCAAGGAGGCUUUGGGCUUCAUGCAGCAGCCACCUGCCGUCCCGAGAGGCCAGUCCACUGCCCUGUGUACCCAAGGCCACAGCCGCCCCUGCGCCAGACACGCUGGGCUGUAGCUUUGGAUAAAGCCAGUAUUCUGUUCUCUUGGUUGCAUCCUAUCUUCAGCUCCUUUCUCCCCAACACUGAAUCCCUUUCAACCCAGCCAGUUAAUUUAUCUUUGCUUCAAAUGUUUUUGAAGUAACUACACACACACCCCUGUAAAAGUUUUUCUUUAGCAAAAGUGUUCUAAAACACAGGACAGAACUCUGAAAGGAAAAUAUUAAACUCUGAGGUUACUGCUGUAGUAGCAAAUGCCUGUGGAAUUUAAAGGAGAUGAAAAGGCUAGAGACAGAAGCAGUACUGGGCUCUCACUCUGGGAACUUAUGGGUCUGCUGCAUUUCCUAUAUGUACAGUGUGCCCCAAAAUAACCCUCAUGAUUCAUAUUUUGAAUGCCAUGAAAUUGGAAUCAUUGGUAGUGGGUCCUCUGCACCUGCCUCUACAGAGGGCUGACUGUCAUAGACUGUCUUAUAUAAAGGACUUGAACAUCUGCAGAUCCAGUGUCUUCUGGGCUCUUGGAGCCAAUCCCCCGCAGACACCAAGGUCCACUGUACUUCACUUAUAAAACCCACUUCUUCCAAUUAGGGCAGAAGAGCAAAUCAUCCAAAACACUAGGAAGGAAACAGCUUCAGACAGGGGCAUCUAUUUCUACUUAGGGCUUUGAAUUCAGCAGAAGGACUGAAGUCAUUUUCAUGUUUCAGACUUAUGGUGAGGCAGCUCUUUCUUUUUCAGUAAAUAUAAUUGUUGAAGAAACUUGCUUUGAUUUUCCCCGAGGCAAAUAACACCUUUCAUUUGAUUAAAUCCAAUUCAAAAAGUUAAGAGUCUGUCUGUUAAAUUCCUGAGUGGGUUGAAUAUGUUGGUAUUUCAUUUUUAACAUUUAUUAUAGAAAUUAUUCUGUCAUCUCCAUAGGCAUAAUCUUAUUUUGAAAAUGUUUAAUCUUGUUUGAGAAUGUUCUAGAAAUAUAUUAUCCCUUUAGGGCUUGUAUUACUUUUCUGUUGCUGUUGUAACAAAUAAUCACCAACUUCAUGGUUUAAAAAGUCACAGUUCUGGAGGUCAGAAAUCUGAAGAGGCUCAUUGAGGUAAACUCAAGAUAUCAGCAGGGCUCCACUGCUUCUGUCUGUGUGAGAGAAUCGGUUUUCUUGCCUCUUGCAGCUUCUAGAGGCCAUAGACAUUCCUUGAGUCAUAGCCCUUUCCUCUGCCUUUGAAGUCAGCAGCAUAACAUCUUUAAAUCCCUUUCUGACUCUAACUUCUGUCUCCCUCUUCCACACUUAAAAAGCCCUGUGAUUACACUGGAUCCACUGGAUAAGCUAGGACAGUCUACCUUCAAGUGGGCUGAUUAGCAAUUUUAAUUCCUGCUGCAGCCUUAGUUUCCUUUUGCCAUGUAACAACUUACAGGUUUAGGAGACAGUGGCAUGGACGUCUUUGGAGGGCCAUUAUUUGCCCACAGGGCCUAGGCAAUGCAGGGUGUGAUCCAAGUAAACUCUCAGUCUCGGAGGUCCCUGAGCAUUGUUAUGUGUCACCAGAAUUAACCAGACAUGAAAACUGAAACUCAAAGCCACCAGGGUUUCUGGAGAUGGCCUCAGAGAAAUGCUAGGUUUUGUUCUUGAUUACCACUCAGGUUUUCCACUUUUACUUUCUGAAAGUUGCUCAGGCGUGUCUGACUCUUUGCGACCCCAUAGACUAUACAGUCCAUGAAAUUUGCGGCCCAAGAACCCGGGAGUGCGCAGCCUUUCCCUCCUCCAGGGCAUCUUCUGACCCAGGAAUGGAGCCGGGGUCUCCUGCUUUGCAGGUGGAAUCUUUACCACAGCCAGGUCCACCCUCCUGAGCCAUCCGCCUUUCAGGACCCCCUCUGACACUGGCUCUGCCUGCAGCUCGGGAUCUGAGCCAGCCCUGGGGGGCUCCCUGGCCCUGCCCUUGUCUCUGGUGUCACUCCACCCACCGCCGAGGGGACAGCGAGGGGCCUGCUCGCUGGAGCAGAGACGGGGCAGGUGUCUCAGACCACAUCCUGCCUGAGUGUCUUGGUGUCUGCCCACUGACCAGCUGCCAAGCCCCUUGGGGAAAUGGCUCUGGGUUAACUGCUCGGACAGCCCAAGUGGCUUCCUGCCCCGGGCCCUUUUCCCACGCUGGGGGCACAGAGGCCCUGUGCACACGCUGACUGGCCCCGUGCACAUGCUGACGGGCCCCGUGCACAGGCUGACCGGCCCCGUGUACACACUGACGGGUUGGGAUCUGGGUGUCGGGGGGAGGGCAGGCCAGGCGGG